AAGUCGUAACAAGGUUUCCGUAGGUGAACCUGCGGAAGGAUCAUUACUGAGUUAGGGUCCCUCGUGGCCCGGCCUCCAACCCUUUGUUUAUACCACUUUGUUGCUUUGGCAGGCCCGCCCUUUCGGGGGCCGCCGGGGGCGUUUAGUCGCCUCUGGUCCGUGCUUGCCAGUAGCCAAAUCAAAUUCUUCUUUAACAAUGAAGUCUGAAUCUUUAAUUAAAAUUAAUUAAAA
rnacentral:misc_RNA from 1 species